ACUAUGCUAAUCGUUCAUUUACCAUGUUGUUAUAUCUUCUAUGUUAGAUUUUUCGACAUGGAUGUUUUAAGUCAAUAAAAUUGGAAUCAAGGAUAUCUUUGUCACUUACUCAUUAGCUCACAUAGUCUUACUUGCGUGUGGUAGAGAGUUCUUUGUCUCUUUUCAUGUUUGCUCUAUCCAUUUUGUCGAUUUGAAGUAGCUUGAGAUUUCGUUCUUUUGCUAUUUUCCCGUCUGUUUGAUAUCCAUUUCUUUCCCUUUUAUUUCUUAGCCUCUCCUUCCUUCAUCGUUGAAUCUGUCGAUUCCUUUGAUUUUUUUAACCUUCUUGUUUGUCAGAGAAACCUAGAAAUUGAUAUAUAUGUUAGGUUUCUCCAAAAGUCAGAAUUAUCAAGUUAGAUUUCUAGAACUCAGAAAUCUGAAACAAGAAAUUGGGUGUUGGCCGAACUUUUAUCCAUUUUUGCUCUAUCCAAGUUACUCAUUAGAGUUAUUAGAGGAUCGUUUGCCACUCUUGCCAUGAGGACAAACAUCAAGCACACGUGCAAAGGCGCCAUGAGAAUGGAGACAUUUUAAACACCAUAUAUGUUUCACAAUGAUGCAGUAUUAUAGCUCGAUUUGCACUAUAUCAUCUGUAUGUUACAACUUGCGAUGAUUUCAUACUUGUGCUGUUGAGAGUUUUAUCUAAAUUGUAAAAAGUUCACAAGGGAGCAGUAGAACAGAGAUACAGUUUGUAAUAACAGAGUCCGUCCUUUUGUAACAUUUGAACAGGCGCAAGUAUUUACCACUAUAGAAAAUUAAACAUGCCAUGUAAUAUUUAUGUCUAAUGUUUGAAGCUUUGUUCUUAGCUGA